UUGGGUUAAGUCCGUAACCGAGACGCAACCCUUGUCCUUAGUUACCAGCACGUUAUGGUGGGCGACUCUAAGGAGACUGCCGGUGCAAACCGGAGGAAGUGGGGAUGACGUCAAGUCAUCAUGGCCCUUACGGCCUGGGCUACACACGUGCUACAAUGGUCGGUACAAAGGGUUGCCAAGCCGCGAGGUGGAGCUAAUCCCAUAAAACCGAUCGUAGUCCGGAUCGCAGUCUGCAACUCGACUGCGUGAAGUCGGAAUCGCUAGUAAUCGUGAAUCAGAAUGUCACGGUGAAUACGUUCCCGGGCCUU
rnacentral:rRNA from 1 species